UGAGCAUCUAUUUUUCAAAAAAAAUUAUAUAAAAUACCUGUUAUACCUUUAAUAAAAUAAAAUAUCUUAUUCCAUUCCAUUUAAAAGCUUAAGAACAUUUUUGGAAAAAAAAAUUCUUGGACUUUCCAAUGUUCCCAUAUGAUUUUUUUUUAUAAAAUGUAGAAAUCUAAAAGCCACUUUUCUAUUUCUUUUCUUUAAAAACUCUAACCAUACAUGAGUUAUUUCUUUAAUUUUUCUAUUAGUCAUACUUUUUCUACUCCUCUUCCUGCAAAUCGAAUAAGUUUUUUUAGUGUAGUGUAAAAAUAAAUGUCUCCCUAAUUUAUUAACAGCUCCGCACAGAGCACAACAAAAGUACCAGACAAUCCUCUCCACUGGAAUACACCUGUUGUUUGGAUCCUAUCCUUCUCGGCAAGCCACAUAAAAAUCCUUUAUCUUCUCCGCUGCUGGAGAACUUCCAGAGAACCCAGUCCUAUAGACACAGAACUUGCCCACAAUUCAAAAACUAGCAGAACGAUUUCACAAAGAAAGUUUGGCCUGCUCUCGACUUCCAUAACAUUUUAUCUCCAUAUCAUACAGGUCUUACCUUUCCCACAAAGCAAAGAACUUCUCAAACUUCCCAUGUUCACCUCUAGGAAGCGGAAACCAGGGAGACAGCCCAACUCAGAAAAAGCCCAACUCCCUGUGGAGUCAAAGCGAUAGAUGGGUGUCAGAGUACCUUUCGCUAGCCGUCCGGCCGUUUAGAUCUUAGUCCCAUCUGCCAUGAGAUUUGUUGCUGCAUUAGUAUUACUAUUAAUAUUGUUAUUACUAGUAGCAGUAAUAAUAAUAAUAUUAUAAUUAUUAUUAUAUUUUUAUAAAUUAGUAAAAUACUGUACAAAAUUGAUAUUAAAGAUAGUAUUACUUUUGCUAUUCAUUUUUUUUUUAAAGCUUCUGAUAUUCAUUCUUUUGAUUUUUCACUCUAACCUUAAUUUCUUCAUUCAUAUCAUUCACUUUGGUCCAUACUUUUUUCUUGAGUUUUUGAAAACAAAAGCAAUGCUACGUGGACUCUCAGUAACCUUAGAGAUUCAUACCAAAAAUUACAAAAAAAAUAUGUAGACAAAAGUGGAAAAUUUUCUCAUUUCACCCUUAGAUAGGGUUAAAAUUUCUGUCAGAUCGUUUCUAGAAUUAAUUACAAUCAUUCAAUGCAUAAAAUUGAAUCGAGCAACACUCCAUACAUAUAAAAUGAAUUAUAAUUUGCUCUAAGAGAAAUACCUUUUAUUUAGCAACCCUCCCCCCUCUC
rnacentral:lncRNA from 1 species